CCUACGGGAGGCAGCAGUGAGGAAUAUUGGUCAAUGGACGAGAGUCUGAACCAGCCAAGUAGCGUGAAGGAUGACUGCCCUAUGGGUUGUAAACUUCUUUUAUAUGGGAAUGAAAUGUUCCACGUGUGGGAUUUUGUAUGUACCAUAUGAAUAAGGAUCGGCUAACUCCGUGCCAGCAGCCGCGGUAAUACGGAGGAUCCGAGCGUUAUCCGGAUUUAUUGGGUUUAAAGGGAGCGUAGGUGGAUUGUUAAGUCAGUUGUGAAAGUUUGCGGCUCAACCGUAAAAUUGCAGUUGAAACUGGCAGUCUUGAGGACAGUAGAGGUGGGCGGAAUUCGUGGUGUAGCGGUGAAAUGCUUAGAUAUCACGAAGAACUCCGAUUGCGAAGGCAGUUCACUGGACUGCAACUGACACUGAGGCUCGAAAGUGUGGGUAUCAAACAGGAUUAGAUACCCGUGUAGUC
rnacentral:rRNA from 1 species